AAAAAAAAAAGUCAUCAAGUAAAUAACUUGUCGACAUUAUAGACCGGAUAGUGAAAAAGCACACCAAACUGGUCACCUGUGUCCUCAGUUGUUUUUAGUUUUAAAAGAGAGUGUUUAAAAUAAGCGUCUAUGAAAUGAAAAAAGAAAGUGUUGGAUGCAUAGCCAUGAAGAAUAGUAGUCAUUAUAAUAUGGCGUCAUCCCGCAAUUCUUACGUCACUCUCAUAACAACUGUUGGUAAUAUAACAAUAGAACUUUAUUGGGACCACGCACCAAAAACAUGUAACAAUUUUUUUACACUAUGCAAAGAGGGAUAUUAUGAUGGAUGUUUGUUUCAUCGCAUUGUUCGUAAUUUUGUUAUACAAACAGGUGAUCCUAGCGGAACGGGAAAAGGAGGUGCUUCGAUUUAUGGUCUGACCUUUGAAGAUGAAAUCCAUCCUGAUUUACAUCACGUUGGAGCUGGAGUUGUGUCUAUGGCCAACAGUGGCCCCAAUACAAACGGAUCACAAUUCUUUGUUACAUUAGCACCAUGUCCUCAUUUGGAUGGAUUGCAUACUAUUUUUGGUCGAGUUAGCUCUGGAAUGAAAGUCGUUCAAAAAUUAGCAAUCGUUGAAGUGAACUCACUCGAUCGUCCUGUUUUUGAUAUUAAAAUUUUGAGAGUCGACACAGCAACCGAUGCUUCUGAGUUGCUCCCUGGCUCAACAUAUGUUUGACUAGCCAUAUACCCUCCUUUACUGUUAAACUUUUACUAACCGCAGCAAACGAAAACAGGCACAAACGUUGAAAGGAAGCGUACAUGGAAGGAAAAAUAGUAAUGCAUAAUAGUUUUGAACGCUAGGUUAUACCCACUAGCACGGUGAAUUAUGUCAAAAAAAAAUUUCGCACUCUUAAAAAGCCCGUGCAAAUUCUUCAUUUUACUACUAAUGAAAGAAAAAAUUUGUAGCAACAAUUUGUUUCAUCAAUGUUACAGGUGUAUAAAUAUUUUUUUAUAAAUCAAAUCAAGCUUAGUAGAGUGAACUGAUAGGUAGCGAUAAGACACAAAUAAAGACAUUCUCAUUUUACUUUACACAGCAAAGCAACGUCAAUCUUAUAAGUGGCAACAUGGUUUGUGCUUUUUAAAAGGUUAUUGUCUUUGCUGAUGGCUACUCAAAAGUAGUGAAAAUCAUUUUGGACAUUUAACCAAAAUUUGACCUAAAAAGAAAGAACAAAUGUUUUCAAGUACAUUGCAAAAAU